rnacentral:rRNA from 1 species
GACGAACGCUGGCGGCGUGCUUAACACAUGCAAGUCGAACGGAAAGGCCCUGCUUUUGUGGGGUGCUCGAGUGGCGAACGGGUGAGUAACACGUGAGUAACCUGCCCUUGACUUUGGGAUAACUUCAGGAAACUGGGGCUAAUACCGGAUAGGAGCUCCUGCUGCAUGGGGGGGGUUGGAAAGUUUCGGCGGUUGGGGAUGGACUCGCGGCUUAUCAGCUUGUUGGUGGGGUAGUGGCUUACCAAGGCUUUGACGGGUAGCCGGCCUGAGAGGGUGACCGGCCACAUUGGGACUGCGAUACGGCCCAGACUCCUACGGGAGGCAGCAGUGGGGAAUAUUGCACAAUGGGCGGAAGCCUGAUGCAGCAACGCCGCGUGCGGGAUGCCGGCCUUCGGGUUGUAAACCGCUUUCGCCUGUGACGAAGCGUGAGUGACGGUAAUGGGUAAAGAAGCACCGGCUAACUACGUG